rnacentral:misc_RNA from 1 species
AACAUAGUGGCAGAAAAAUGAGAGUACCCACUACCUAUAAUGUGUGAAAUAAAUCUCAUAUAAAUCAAACAAACUCUGAGUAAUUAUUGUAACUUGCAAAAUAUGGAGCAAUUGCAACAUGUGACAUAUUUCCCAAGAAAUUCUGGAGGCAUGAGGUUUCUUUUAUCAUUUUACAUUCUCUAUCAUUUGAAAAACUUUGGUUCGUAAUUGACUAUUUAUGAUUGUGAGUUCUCUCCAUGAUUCUGAACUGAUAUUAAAUAA